rnacentral:rRNA from 1 species
AACGAACGCUGGCGGCAGGCCUAACACAUGCAAGUCGAGCGAGGACUUCGGUCCUAGCGGCGACGGGUGAGUAACGCGUGGGAACGUGCCCUUUGGUUCGGAAUAGCCCUGGGAAACUGGGAGUAAUACCGGAUGAGCUCUUCGGAGGAAAGAUUUAUCGCCAAAGGAUCGGCCCGCGUUGGAUUAGGUAGUUGGGGGGGUAAUGGCCUACCAAGCCGACGAUCCAUAGCUGGUUUGAGGGGAUGAUCAGCCACACUGGGACUGAGACACGGCCCAGACUCCUACGGGAGGCAGCAGUGGGGAAUCUUAGACAAUGGGGGAAACCUUGAUCUAGCCAUGCCGCGUGAUCGAUGAAGGCCUUAGGGUUGUAAAGAUCUUUCAGGUGGGAAGAUAAUGACUGUACCACCAGAAGAAGCCCCGGCUAACUCCGUGCCAGCCGCCGCAGUAACAC